rnacentral:misc_RNA from 1 species
GAUGAAGAACGUAGCGAAAUGCGAUACGUAAUGUGAAUUGCAGAAUUCAGUGAAUCAUCGAGUCUUUGAACGCACAUUGCGCCCCCUGUAUUCCGGGGGGCAUGCCUGUCCGAGCGUCAUUGCUGCCCUCAAGCACGGCUUGUGUGUUGGGCCUCCGCCCCCCGGCUCCCGGGGGGCGGGCCCGAAAGGCAGCGGCGGCACCGCGUCCGGUCCUCGAGCGUAUGGGGCUUCGUCACCCGCUCCGUAGGCCCGGCCGGCGCCCGCCGGCGACCCCCCUCAAUCUUUCCAGGUUGACCUCGGAUCAGGUAGGGAUACCCGCUGAACUUAAGCAUAUCAAUAAGCGGAGGA